UAGAGUUUUAUAAACUCCCAACCCUUUGUGAACUUACCUAUGUUGCCUCGGCGGAGCCUACCCGGUAGCUCUCCCUUUCGGGAGGACCUACCCUGUAGCCCGCCGGUGGAUUUUCAAACUCUUGUUAUUUUAACUAUAUCUGAGCGUCUUAUUUUAAUAAGUCA
rnacentral:misc_RNA from 1 species